rnacentral:rRNA from 1 species
GUUUGAUCAUGGCUCAGAACGUACGCUGGCGGCACGCCUAACACAUGCAAGUCGAACGAAGUAGCAAUACUUAGUGGCAGACGGGUGAGUAACAUGUAGGUAUCUGCCCUUUGGCCUGGAAUAACACGAGGAAACUUGUGCUAAUACCGGAUAAGUCUUUACGGAGAAAGCUUUAUGCACCAUUGGAUGAGCCUGCACUUGAUUAGUUUGUUGGUGGGGUAAUGGCCUACCAAGACUGUGAUCAAUAGCUGAUUUGAGAGGAUGAUCAGCCACAUUGGGACUGAGACACGGCCCAAACUCCUACGGGAGGCAGCAGUGGGGAAUCUUGCACAAUGGAGGAAACUCUGAUGCAGCGAUGCCGCGUGAGUGAAGAAGGCCUUUGGGUUGUAAAGCUCUUUCGUCGGGGAAGAAAAUGACUGUACCCGAAUAAGAAGGUCCGGCUAACUUCGUGCCAGCAGCCGCGGUAAUACGAAGGGACCUAGCGUAGUUCGGAAUUACUGGGCUUAAAGAGUUCGUAGGUGGUUGAAAAAGUUGGUGGUGAAAUCCCAGAGCUUAACUCUGGAACUGCCAUCAAAACUUUUCAGCUAGAGUAUGAUAGAGGAAAGCAGAAUUUCUAGUGUAGAGGUGAAAUUCGUAGAUAUUAGAAAGAAUACCAAUUGCGAAGGCAGCUUUCUGGAUCAUUACUGACACUGAGGAACGAAAGCAUGGGUAGCGAAGAGGAUUAGAUACCCUCGUAGUCCAUGCCGUAAACGAUGUGUGUUAGACGUUGGAAAUUUAUUUUCAGUGUCGCAGCGAAAGCGAUAAACACACCGCCUGGGGAGUACGACCGCAAGGUUAAAACUCAAAUGAAUUGACGGGGACCCGCACAAGUAGUGGAGCAUGUGGUUUAAUUCGAAGAUACGCGCAGAACCUUACCAACACUUGACAUGUUCGUCGCGACUUUAAGAGAUUAAAGUUUUCGGUUCGGCCGGACGAAACACAGGUGCUGCAUGGCUGUCGUCAGCUCGUGUCGUGAGAUGUUGGGUUAAGUCCCGCAACGAGCGCAACCCUCACUUUUAGUUGCCAUCAUUAAGUUGGGCACUCUGAAAGAACUGCCAGUGAUAAGCUGGAGGAAGGUGGGGAUGACGUCAAGUCCUCAUGGCCCUUACGUGUUGGGCUACACACGUGCUACAAUGGUAUCUACAACAGGAAGCAAGACGGCGACGUUAAGCAAAUCCUUAAAAGAUACCUCAGUUCGGAUUGCACUCUGCAACUCGAGUGCAUGAAGCUGGAAUUACUAGUAAUCGUGGAUCAGCGUGCCACGGUGAAUGCGUUCCCGGGUCUUGUACACACCGCCCGUCACACCAUGGGAGUUGGUUCUACCUUAAGGCAAGGUUUUAAACCCUUGACCACGGUAUAGUCAGCGACUGGGGUGAAGUCAUAACAAGGUAGCCGUA